UCCAAGGAAGGCAGCAGGCACGCAAAUUACCCACUCCCGGCAUGGGGAGGUAGUGACGAAAAAUAACAAUACGGGACUCAUCCGAGGCCCCGUAAUUGGAAUGAGUACACUUCAAAUCCUUUAAUAAGGAUCCAUUGGAGGGCAAGUCUGGUGCCAGCAGCCGCGGUAAUUCCAGCUCCAAUAGCGUAUAUUAAAGUUGCUGCAGUUAAAAAGCUCGUAGUUGGAUCUCAGUUAUGGGCAGGUGGUUCACUUUACGGUGUUACUACCUGAACCAAACCUAUUGCUGGUACUCUUGGUUGCCCUUCACUGGGUGGCCCUUGAGACCAGAGCGUUUACUUUGAGAAAAUUAGAGUGCUCAAAGCUGGCGAAUGCCUGAAUAGUUGUGCAUGGAAUAAUGAAAGAAGGCCUCGGUGCCAUUUUGUUGGUUCUCGGUGCUUGAGGUAAUGGUUGAAAGGGACAGACGGGGGCAUUAGUAUUGCGACGUUAGAGGUGAAAUUCUUAGAUCGUCGCAAGACUGACUACUGCGAAAGCAUUUGCCAAGAAUGUCUUCAUUAAUCAAGAACGAAAGUUAGAGGUUCGAAGGCGAUCAGAUACCGCCCUAGUUCUAACCUUAAACGAUGCUAACUGGCGAUCCGGUGGGGGUACUUCAAUGACCUGCCGGGCAGCUUCUGGGAAACCAAAGUUUUUUGGUUCCGGGGGAAGUAUGGUUGCAAAGCUGGAACUUAAAGGAAUUGACGGAAGGGCACCACCAGGAGUGGAGCCUGUGGCUUAAUUUGACUCAACACGGGAAACCUCACCAGGCCCAGACACUAGAAGGAUUGACAGAUUGAGAGCUCUUUCUUGAUUUGGUGGAUGGUGGUGCAUGGCCGUUCUUAGUUGGUGGAGUGAUUUGUCUGGUUAAUUCCGAUAACGAACGAGACUCUGGCCUAUUAAAUAGGCAGCGGAUAACAAAAUAGUCCGCAUUGUCUUCUUAGAGGGACAAGGCAGCUCCAAGCUGCAUGAAAUGGGGCAAUAACAGG
rnacentral:rRNA from 1 species